GCAGGCCGCGCCGCCCGGGAACUUCCUCCCCUGCAGAGACCACCUCGCUCCCGGGACUCGCCAGCGAGGGAUGCCGCCGGCCGCCGGGGGCCUUCUCCAGGACCAGGAGAGAAAUCCUCUCUCCGCUUCACGACGCGGCCACUCCCACCCCUGAGACGCCCACCUGGCGGACUCUGAGGGAGGAUUCGGCUGCGUCUAAUACCACCUCCACCCCUCAUCCCUCACAAUGCGCGGAAAACCACAGGCGGCUGUGCGCGCAGCGUCGGCUCAGCCACCGCAGCUCCUCCCCUGGGAUGAAAAAGCACUCUGACGUCUUGAAAGCUGGCAGCUCUCUGUUUGGAAAAUCUCUGCCCAGUGAAAAAAUGUACCGACAAGAUUACUAAGUAACACAGUCUUCUGGGAAUGCCUUAUCAAUGCCAGCUAUUUGAAGAGCACCCAAAGUCAAACUAGUGCUCCGCGCUGGCAGUCUGGAAAAGGCAGAUGUAUGUGAGUAGAGAAACUGAUAGACAACUAGUUGCUGGCCAGUUGGCCUGUUUUCGUGCUACAAGCCUUCAGAAAACAGUCGCCUCCUUUUACCACGUUUCUAUUUCUAAACCAAAAUGAAAAGGACGUUUGUUCAAAAGAUAUUCUCUUGGGCUUUACAUUGCUUUCCCCCUG
rnacentral:lncRNA from 1 species